UUGACUCAGUACACAGUGGUAGGUGAUGGGAACAAUGGAAGACGGUAUCAGGGGGACUGGGAGAGAAUUUCAAAGCCUCUAGCAGCUGAAAUACACAGAACAAAAGAGGAGAAUGGGACUGUGUGCUUUACCAAGCGAGACAUGCAUUUUAUUCGCAGGUUAUGCAUAAUAAGCAUGGUUGCAGGGGAGAAGGGCAUUUCCUCACCGACAAUAUGGCAGCAAUAAUAGUCACAUGGAGGACAGCUCCUGGUGACCGACCCCAGUGCAGUCUCAUGGCAACAUGGUGAAGAGUGUUUUAUCAUCGCUGUAAGCGUGGGUUGUAGCAGGCACCCGUAGAUCGGCAUUUUCCAUGGCUGAAUGUCAUCCUCUGGAAGGUGCCCUAACCUGUGAGUCAAUGAGCCUUGCGAAUGCCAUUGCAACGUGAUCAGCGUCACUCUCAUUUGUGAGCAGUAGGAAUAAGAGGGCUGGGUUCUUUACAAACGUAUGAGUGUCACUCUUAUUCAAGCUGUCUCUUGGGGAACCUUGCCAAGAGAGUUAACUGAGUGCAAAACCCCAGGCGGUGAAAGACUUGGCAUCUCUCAGGACACCAGACUCACAAACCUCACAGCUUACGAGAGUGAAGGUGAUUAACCCAUGGAACAAGCUACCUAUGGAAGUGGUGGAUUUUCCAUCUCUUGGCAUCUUCAGAUCAAGACUGGGUGCCUUUCUGGAAGAUGAGUGAUAUUUCUCCCUGUUAAAGCGACUCUGGAUAUGACGGGGAGGAAACAAUACUCACACUACAGUAAAUCUUGGCUGGAGUAAUGGCCACAAAGCCACUUUCCAGGCAGAUGCUCCCAAUGCCUCAGGAGGAAGUAACUGCUCAUUUCUGGCUGCGCUAAAUCAGUGCCACCCAGCCAUGGUGAGCAUGGAUCAUUGGCAGGCCCAGCAGCAGCCAACGGCUUAUGGGAAGAGCAGAGUUCGAUUCAGGACAACGUGGGAACGAGGCAGCAGACUAGCAAUCCUCCUACAGAACCCUUUGAAAGCAGUCAUCUCUCUCUUCACCUCCCCCCAGACGCCCACUCCCAAGAACUCAGUCUGCUCAUGUCCCUAGUGAGUAGUGUCAGCUCAUUCAUUGUUCAGAAUGAAUUAGCAGCCAGAGGGAGUUGUGCCCUGUGUGAUUCUAGCGGCGUCUUUGUAAGCAAACACUUUUUACCUGUUAGUCAUGGGGAAAUCCCAGACAGGGCUGGUGUUCUCCUCCCAUGGGCCCUGGCUGUUCUUCCCCUGGUUUGGGGUUGGUAAACACAAGAUGGAUUCAUUCCCCAGAUCAGUUUAAUGGGUCAAUGUCUACUUUUCUACAUUUUGCCUCUCAGCAUGCUGGGAAUACUCCAAAUAUAUUGCAAGGGAAAUAAACUAUUGAUUGAAAAGGGAGGAAAGGGGAAAUCCGCUAGCGAUUCUAAUAGUAAGAGCAAUCCUUAAUAAUCGUCAUAAUUUGUAGACAGCAACAGCCUCAGACCAUUCCAAAGUGGACACAGAAUUUUAAAAAAAUAGAUUGUAGAAACUGGAUCUUUUGCCCUCCUUAAGAUGGACUCACACUGCUGAAAUUUACUAAUGAUAUCAAUGAUGGUUAUUAUUAAGUCAAAUUUUCAAUAUGUGUCUCAUUGACUUUCAAUGGGAUUUAAGAGCUUAAGUCCCUUAGGUGCUUUUGAAACUUUAGCCCAUUAUUUGUGUUAUGGUAUGUGACAAAGCUUUGUCCUUGUCUCCGUGGGGCCCGCGUUUCCUGGUGGAUUUCGCUAGCCUCAGAGGCUCACUGUGACCCUCCACGUAGCCCUUCUCUCUCUAGAGACAAGGGUCACAGCCUACUGAGCCAUUUUCAUCAGAAGCCAGCGAGGGAGGUGAGGAGAAGCUAUCCUCCCUUGCACAGUCUCUGUUGUCUCCUAGUCUCAGUGAUUAAUCAGGGGGGCAAAGGGGAGAGCCCGGCCCCACCCUCUACUCUGGGCUCCAGCCCAAGGACCCUAAUAGUAUCAGCAAUGGUGGCUGACUUUUUAGAAACAGGACAUGUACAAUUCCCUGGGCUACUUCCCCACAGCAGCCCCCACUUCCUCAAGAUCCACUUCACCCUUACCACAGGGCCUCCUUCCUUGUGUCUGAUAUGGUGUGCACUGCUCUGUCUCUCCAACAGCACAACUUCCUCCUACAGCUCCUGACAUGCGCACCUACCUGACUAACUGGGAGGCUUUUAACUAGUUUCAGCCAGCCCCUGAUUGGCUUCAGGUGUCCCAAUCAACCUAGCUGUCCUCCCUGCCUUCUGGAAAGAUCUUAAUUGGCCCAGGUGUCUUAAUUUGGACCAGGAGCAGCUGCCAUUUGCUUAUUUUGGUAGCAGAGAUUUGUUUAGCCUGUGGCUAAUAUAUCUGUCUCCCAUUACUUCACUAUAGCCAUCUGGCCUUGUCCUGUCACAGGUAACACUUAAAUAAUAAUAGUAAUUAGUAUUACGAAUACUUUUUGGAAAAAUGGUCUGUCAGUGGCACAGUGGGACCUGUUGAAUUCUGGACACAUUUGAAAAUGUGAUUCGCCCAAGGUCACAUGGGGAGGCUGAGGCAGAGGCAGAAUAAGCUGAACCCAGAUUGGCUGAGUCUCAGCCCAGUGUCUUCAUGACACCAUCAUGCUUCCUCUUCGCUAUUGAGACAAAAGGUACCGAUUUCCUGGUUAUUACAGUGUCGUCAUUCAUCCUUCCAUCUCUCUACUUUGCAUUUCCCAAUAUCUGCAGCAUAUUCUAUUUGUCUCCUUGUGGUAACUUUGCUGUCCACUUCUUUUGUGCAUUCUGUAUUUCCCCUGCCUCUUCCUAACUGGCAUCUAUUCAGUUUUCUCUUCCAAACAUUGACUUCUUAAUUAGGACAGUGACUGCGCCCAGGGCAAGUGGCUGGCUGCAGAGCACAGAGAGUUCAAAGGAUUCCACGUGGCUAUCUCAUCAAUUAGCUGUUCAAAGAUUUUUCUCCAGUCAGACACUUGUAAAAAACAUUUUUGUGUUUAAUUCCUUUUUUCAUGACAGAGUUGUAAAUGACAGUGGGGGAAAGGGAAGCUGAGAGGCUAUAUUUAAAGUGAAGACAUAAAGGAUCUAAAUUCAACAGAUCUGCUCCUGAUCUCGUUCACACUGGGCUGUAAUUUGAUUGACUCGAAUGAAACCUGGCCCAUAGGGAGAUCAGAAUCUGAUCCAGUGCUCCGAAUAGGUGCAGCAUUUAGAAUGUGAUAGCAAAAAGUGUCACCAGGUGUCUUCGUAGGAAACACCUUAAUGUAGUCCAGCGGGCAGUCAUUGCAGUGCAAGGGAUGGGUCAACCAGUAUAGAGAAGAGGGUUAAGGCUCUGGAAUGGGACUCAGAAGAAUGGGGUUCAAUUUCUGGCUCUGACACAGACUCCCUGUGUGAUUCUGGGCAAAUCACUUAAUCUUUCUGUGUCUCAGCUUCCUAUUGGUCAAAUGGGGAUAAUGAUACUCUCUUGGGGUAUAACUUCACUGCCGAGUUAACUCAAGUUACUCCUCUUGAGUUAGCCUAGCUUGAGUGGGAGCAGCCACGCUAUGAAAUAACAUGCAGGCAGCAGUGCCCAUGCUGGUGUUGCUCUCCCUCAUGAGGUGCUAGGACGUCUACGGGCACGUCCCACUGUUCUGUGUGCACUACACUAAGUUGAGCUUCUUUCCCAGUGAAUUGUGGGAGAACUUCUCUCUCCUUUUGGGGCACACACAAAAGGGAAUUGUGGGAAGGCCCUGGAGGACUAGCAGCUAGGGUGACUGGAGAGCAAGGAUAAUAAAUAGGGACAGGGGCUGGAGGGUAAUAGGAACCUAUAUAAGACAAAGCCCCAAAUAUCGGGACUGUCCCUAUAAAAUCGGGACAUCUAGUUACCCUACUAGCAGCACCGACAUGACAUUAGCCUACAUCUGCGCUAUUCAAUGGUCAUGCUAGCAGCUGAGGAGUUGUGCUCACUUGAGCUGGGGCCUAUAUCCCUGAUGGGUCAGCCAACAUGAGACAAAAGCACCGCCAUGCCAGAGUUCAGGGUUUUUGUAUGUGUAUGGGACUCGAGUUAGGGGUAACGUUCUGGAGGACGUGGGGAGGAUGUUUGUGUUUCUUAUGCUAAGCCCAUACAGUUUCCCUGCCCUGAUGACAGAGCAAGACUCAUCCUCCCCUACCCAGGUGCGAGGGAGAAGAAGAGAUCAGAGAGGCUUGUACUGCCAGCCAAGCAUUUAGAUUAGCCUGAGUUGCCUGCGUUAAAUCCCCCAGCAGGGCCUGCAGCUAUACAGCCUGCAGAAGGUGUCUCCAUGAGAUAAAGACCCUGUUAGUGCUUUCUCUCACUGAUGGCAGUGAAGUCUCAUGCCAGGUUCCCCAGCUCUCAUUCCCAUGGAGAUGGGAAAGUUACUGUUCCAAUGUCAUUGUGCCAUGCUUCAUGACAGGACGGCUUCGGCAGUUGACCAAGUUUUGGGUUACAGCGACGAAAUCUAAGGAGCAGAAUACUGCCUGCAUUUCAAUAAUUGCAGAGGGAGAAAGCCAACUGCUCUGGGAUGUUUAUUUGUGUGUCUAAGAGUAUGUGUUUGUCAGUGUGUGCGUCUGAGUGUUCAUGACAUGUCAGUGUGUACGUCUAUCCCUGUAACAGAGAGAUUGUGUAAGUGUGUGUGUGGGGGGGGAGUAUGACAGUCAAUGUGUGACUCAUGUGUUUGUGCCUGUCCAUGUUAGAGGGUAUCUGUGAGUCUUUGUGUGAAUACGUGUGUGUGUGUCUCUUUAUGACAGUGCAAGUCAGCGUGUGUGUGUCCAAGUCUCUGAGGGUGUAUGGCUCUGGAUGGGAGAGCAUACAUGUGUCUCAGUGUCUGAGUCUAUGCGUGUGUGCAUGUCUGUGUCUGAGUACGUGGAUGAAUCAUUGUGUCCCUGUCUGAUGUAUGUGUGUGUUUCCGUGUCCAAGCGGGUAUGUGUUAAUAUCUGUGUGUGGAUCCAGGUGGACGGGUUUGUCUCUGUCUGGAAGAGUGUGUGUGUGUUGAUAUAUUGUAUAUGUAUGUCUGAGUGUAUCCGAGUAUACACUGUCUUGGGCAAAAUACUUCAAGUACUGAGGGUUAAAUACCAAUGUACUCUUCCUCUCCACCCUGGGUGAUAGAUUUCAGAGUAGCAGCCGUGUUAGUCUGUAUCUGCAAAACGAACAGGAGGACUUGUGGCACCUUAGAGACUAACAAAUUUAUUUGAGCAUAAGCUUUCGUGAGCUACAGCUCACUGCAUCAGAUGCAUUCACGCUGGGUGAAUGCCUGAUGAAUUGUACCUGCUGCUGGACCUCCGACAGAGAUCUCAGUUUACUGGCUUUUUUAUACUUUGGCAACACUUGUAUAGCUUGUCAUGCCAAUAAAAUCUUAUUGAACUGAAUUGAAUUGUAUCUCUGGGUCUGAUACUCAGUGUAGCUGUAUCUAUGUCUGUGCUUCUGUGCACUUGUCUUGAUCUAAGUGCAUCUAUAGUGUGUGUGUGUGUAUGUAUCAGGGUGGAUAAAAAUCAAUGAUUUUUUAAAAAAAAUUAAAAAAUCCAAUUUUUUUAUUUAAAUUGGAUUUUUUUGAUAAAAUGCUUUUUGAGGAAAAAACCUAUCUAAAGAUAGUUUUAAUUAAUAUAUAUUAUAGCUCAAAGAUAUCUCAUCAUGGAAUAGGGAUUAUAAAUUCUAAUUCUAUAGUAUGAGACAAUAUAUUCAUGUAAUGUGUAAGAAAAGUUUUGUAAAUGAGUUCCAAUAGUUCAUGGAUUAGGGACCCAAUUUUAUGGGGUUCCAGGGGCUUCCGUAUAGAUUAUUUAGGUUAAUCUUUCUGUCUACCCAGUAGGACUCAGUGUUCAGUCUAGAAGAUACCAUCAGAGAUGCUUGGUUUUACAUUUCUCAAACUGUGGAUUUGUGUCUCCAGAGAUAACAUGCUUGUUAACAGCAAAAAUGGUUUAAAAUAAAUAAAUAAAUAAUAUAUAGAGGUGAGAAAUAACAGACCUCAACCCUAUUGUCCCUCUGCAAAUUUGUAUACACAGCGUCAAUCCCUUCUCUCUCUAAAAGUGCAAAGUUUCAAAAGGUUCAAUGAAUAGAAGAUUGUUGGGGGUGGAACAGAUCUGGACAAGGAGAAGAAGUCUGGAGACAAAUGUGAGAAGGGAGGGACAGGCAGCAGAAACAAAAGUGAAACUGUUUGAGCAGCAUAUUCCAGAAGUCUUGAGGUCUUUCUGAGUGUAGCCUUCAUUGAUUUGAAAUCUACCAUACCAUUCUCUCACUAGAAGGGAAAACCUGUAAUGGCAGCAGGCCAUAAAAGAGACCCAGUUUGGGAAUAAGAACCAUUCAAGAAAUAUGUGUUUGCAGAUGAUGUUUUAAAGAAAGUCACACCAAUGAACUGGUGGAAGUCACUUAAGCACUUGGAUUCAGAGACUGUUGAGAUGAUAAUCUCACUUUUAACAGCAGUAGCUUCUUCUGCCGGUGUAGAAAGAAUAUUUUCCUCCUUUGGACUAAUUCAUUCCAAAUUGAGAAAUCUUUUGGGACCUGAAAAAGCAGGAAAGCUUGUUUUUCUUUUCCAGAUUAAGAACAAACAGGAAAAUGAAGGUGAAGACGACUGAAUUAGCUGCAGAAACCAAUAUUUUAAGUUUCUCGGGUUGACCUGGCUGACCUAGUCGAUUUAAUUUUUGUUUUUUUUUAAAAAAAUUUCAUUUAACUAUUUUAGUUAAAAACAAUUUUAACAAAAACAAACCUGAUUUAAAAAACGUGAAUGUUUAACUAAAUUCAAAAAUUCAUAUGCUUGUUUUGUUAAAAUAUUAUGUUUGCUGUUGAACAAAAAAAUCCAGAAUACAUAACGGUGUUGUUUUAAUUAAAUAAAACAAUUUAAAUGUCUGUCUGGUUAUGUUCUCCUCCGAAUACAGCAUGGCAAGCAAUCCUCCAAAUAUUAAUGAUUAACUCGUUGAAUUGGAGAUAGUUCACCUCCCAAUGACUUCAUAAAUAUCUGCUUCAAUUACCUUUGGUAAAUGAAAUAACCAAACAAUCAUUCAUUUUCUGAUA